rnacentral:lncRNA from 1 species
GUCUGAAUUAAGUCGCCAACCAAAAGCGCGUAAAUUAUCUUUUGCUUGUUUAACUGUCUUUACGUCACGUAAUGAAAUAGUACCCUUGAUUCUGGUUAUCUCUUCAAUUUAUAUUUUUUUUCCCUUGCUACAAAUUCACAGAUUCCAUUAAGUGGGCAGCAUUUGAUAUUAGGAAAGGUGUUCUGAUGUGCAAGUCAGCAUGUUCUUCUUUAACUGAAGCCAUGGAAAAACAAGGAUCCUUCUGAGUAUCAGAUCUGAGCAUGUCUAGAGAGCAAUUUUCAAGCACACAUGGCAUGGAUUGAAAGGUUUGUAAAACCCUUUCAACAUUGCCUUUUUCAUUUUACCUAUGGAUUUUUCUGCAUUUUUUUACAACAAAGUAUCGAUGAUUGUAUAUUGAAACUCUUCAAACUUAGUAGCAAUGGCCCAGAUGAUGCCUAGUAGGGACUGUAUUUCAUGUAGGUUGGCAGGUCCUAGCUAGGAAUGUAUUGAUUCUAACUAUGAUUGUAAAGGGCUAGUGUGGCCAAUUUUUACUCUAUAAAAGAAAGUAGGUUGUCUGGUUUUGUUGAUGUAUCUAGCAGCUUGAUUAAAGUCAGUAUGAACUUGAAUAUUUCUAAUCCCCAUCAGUUGAGCAAACUGCAUUCCCUAUGAUAAGUCAACAGAUAGCUUCUGCUGAAAUUAAAUAGUUUAUAUGGAUCUCCAAAGAAUUCUGAAGUAGUCAUGACUUGUGGUUUACUAUGCCUGAUUAAUUAAAGAUUUGGAGAGUAUUUUGUUGCACCCCAUUACUGAUAUAUCUUCAUUUACUUUGUAUGUAAAACUGCAAAUUGGAGUUUAGCAAUGUUAUACUCCAUGUCUCACAGUAGGUACAGUUAUAAGGAGUCAGUGUCUCUGACACUUAGGCAGCUAGGUUCUGACGCACAUGUCCAUUUUUGUUACACAAACAAUUUCUUUGUUUGAUUUAAAUUUUAUGUGGUUUUCAUUUCAGCAUUUUUUAUCAAUAAAAUUGUUCCAAGUUUAUUGCUUCCCUCAUUUCCUUCUCCCAAUUGGUUGGCACUCUAUAAUGGAUUCAGUGUCUAUCUGACUCGAUUGCAAGCAUCGAUUCUAUCCUUCCCAGAAUUGGUAUCAAAACUUCCACAAAUUGGUGUUCAGUGAUUAUAUAGGGGUUCCAUUCCUGCUAUUCUUGGACAAUUUUCCAGGUACGGUUUUCCAUCUCUGUUCUCUUAGUAGUAUUCCUUCUAUACAGUGAAAAUAAAUUUUAGUUUGGAUCUUACAUUUUCUUUUUAUUGACGACAGCCAUGGGUUGCGGACUGGGAUUUUUGAAGCAAGCAAGCUUGUGUUGAUUAAUUUUGGGGUGAUUUAGGUUUUGGUCACCACUUUUUAGUAUAAAUUAGGUUUUGGAGCCGGUUUUUUUCUUUAUUAUGGUUUAGAGCUCAUUUUCGAACCAACAACUAAAAAAACCCGGUUGAACCGAAAAUAUUUUCAAAAUACCUAAUUUUACCCCUGAAACUCACGUGAUCUGCACGUGAUCACUAACCCCAAUAUAGUUUUGAUCAGGGGUAUUUUGGCCAUUAUAAACAAUUACUUGGGUCAAUUGUCGGUUCAGCUCUAAACCCUAAUAAAGAAAAAAAACCGGCUCCAAAACCUAAUUUAUACUAAAAAGUGGUGACCAAAACCUAAAUCACCCUUAAUUUUGCUCCUACACUCAGCUAUUUAGGUGGCAUCUCAUUUUUGUUAUAUGUUUUUUUGAUCAAUUGUUUUCUAUGCAGUGUCUUUGCUUGAAGUUGUUUGUGUCUUGUUUGGCUCUGUUUAAAUGUCCUUAAUACGUUUUUGCAUCUCUUUCUGCUCUUUGCUAUAUUGUGAGUCUGUAAUUUCUUUGGAUGUAAGUCCCCCCCCCCCCCCCUCUUUAGGUAUAGGCUGUUUUAGAGCCGUGCUAAUCAGCUUCAGUUUUAUUCCUGCUCCGUUUGUUGAUUAAAAAUACUUAAAUUAGCUUGAACAAGCUAAAGCUUAGCCAAGUAGCUUGAUUCUUUUAGCUGUUCUGGUCCGACUUGUUAUUUAUUCAUAAACCCUGAUAGAACUAGCUUGAGUGAGCUAGAAAUCAGUUAAAUUCUGAGCCGAGCUUGAGUGUGGUAGUACCUGUUAUAUAGUGUGUUUAAAACUCUCUAAACAGGUGAUUGUUUUAUUCUAGUGAGACCAAGUUCAUAUCUUUCUGUUCCGAUAAGAGGUCUUUUAUGCAAAUUUACUGAGAACUAGUCUGGUUGUUUCUCCUUGUUUAAUUUGGUGAGUAGAAACUCAAUGAAAAAAAGCGCAUUCAAAAGCUUUAAUGUUAGUGCAUGCUGAAAACAACGUGAGAUUAUUAUGUAUGUUGCUCAUCUUUGGUUAUUUCGACUUGGACUACUAUAAUUGGGAUAUUUUUUUCCUGUCUAAAAAGACAGUGCAGGCAAUUCUGAUACAUAUUCACUAAUGCAAUUAUCAAUUUAGCAUUGACAUGCAGUUUGUGAUAUGUCAUUCUUCUUCAUUUAGAUUUUGAUAUGCAACAUGUUCAUUUGGACUUUAAGAUUUGAAAACAGAAAUAUGUAUCCGAGUUGCUUGUUUAACUUUGUGAGCAUUCAGAAUAACAACUUUAAUUUAGUGUUGACAGUAUGGUUUCAUUCUUUUAUAUUCAUUGUUGAUAUAUUCUUCAGCUAACAAAUUUCAGCAUGCAUCUUUCUCAGGAGUUUCUAUGUAAUAUGUUUUGGACCGGAGUUUGCUACUUUUUGGGAACUCUUAUUUUUUUUAUAGCAAAAUAAAUUUAAAAGUAGAUUUAUUAUGCAGGUUACAAGAUUGGUGAAACUGAGAACAAGUAAAGCAACACUAGCAAUUGGCCGGUGAUGGAAAAAAAAUUUUAGCAUGCUCAAAAAGGCGGACAUGGGAUCAGUGGCGUUAAAGUAAAGCAUGUAUUAUCUUUUAUCUUAAAUAGCUGAAGGCAACAAAAAUGUUCAUGCAUUCUUAUAAUUAUUGCUAUUAGUGCUUUUAGUCAGUAACUGCGCAUAUACAGGGUGCAAUUAUUUCUCUGCAGCAUCGGGAGGUCAAGAAGGUGUUGGAGAAUUGGCAGAGGCUUAAUAUAAGGGGGCUAGGAGUAGUAGCAUGGAAAAUUUUACAAGUUGCGGUCAUGUGUUGUAUUUGCAACUAACAAAAGCAAAGAUGAAGAUGAGGACAUUGAGUUGAAUAAAUCCGUUGCUGCUCCUGUAUUACUCAUGGA